rnacentral:rRNA from 1 species
UACGUAGGGGGCAAGCGUUGUCCGGAAUUAUUGGGCGUAAAGAGCGCGUAGGCGGUCCGAUAAGUCGGCUGUGAAAGUCAGGGGCUCAACCCUUGAAAGCCGGCCGAUACUGUCGGACUAGAGUCCGGAAGAGGCAAGUGGAAUUCCCGGUGUAGCGGUGAAAUGCGUAGAUAUCGGAAGGAACACCAGUGGCGAAAGCGGCUUCCUGGUCCAGCACCGACGUUCAGGCACGAAAGCGUGGGGAGCAAACAGG